GGCUCUGUGGCGCAAUGGAUAGCGCAUUGGACUUCUAGCUUCCUGACUUGUGAGGUCAUUCAAAGGUUGUGGGUUCGAGUCCCACCAGAGUCG
rfam:Sarcophilus harrisii ctg7180002190964, whole genome shotgun sequence.